rnacentral:rRNA from 1 species
AGUGAACGCUGGCGGUAGGCCUAACACAUGCAAGUCGAACGGCAGCACAGUAAGAGCUUGCUCUUACGGGUGGCGAGUGGCGGACGGGUGAGGAAUACAUCGGAAUCUACUUUUUCGUGGGGGCUAACGUAGGGAAACUUACGCUAAUACCGCAUACGACCUACGGGUGAAAGCAGGGGAUCUUCGGACCUUGCGCGAUUGAAUGAGCCGAUGUCGGAUUAGCUAGUUGGCGGGGUAAAGGCCCACCAAGGCGACGAUCCGUAGCUGGUCUGAGAGGAUGAUCAGCCACACUGGAACUGAGACACGGUCCAGACUCCUACGGGAGGCAGCAGUGGGGAAUAUUGGACAAUGGGCGCAAGCCUGAUCCAGCCAUGCCGCGUGGGUGAAGAAGGCCUUCGGGUUGUAAAGCCCUUUUGUUUGGGAAGAAGAGCAGCAAGUUAAUACCUCGCUGUUCUGACGGUACCCAAAGAAUAAGCACCGGCUAACUUCGUG